rnacentral:lncRNA from 1 species
ACCAAGAUGGCGGACGCUAAGUGUCCCCCCCCCCCCGCGCUCGUAUUGGUUACAAUGAAGCCGGAAGUAGCGCUGUGAUUGGUGGCUCAGCCAGCCAAUGGGAAUAGCGGAAGUGGUUAAAAGGGGGCGGGUUUUGGUGGGCUGACGUCACUUCCGGCGCGGGAGCGGAGCGGCGCGAAAGUUUGGGGGGGGGGGGGGAGCGGGGGAAAGGGAACGAGCUGCCCGCCGCCGGAUGUGACGUCACGGGACCGGAAGUAUGGACGGGAAGGUCACGUGUUCCCCCUCCGCCCUCCGGGUGGCGCUGUGUGCCUGUUGGCAUGUCCUUCGUCGCCGUCGUCUUCGUCACCUCCCUCGUGUCCUGGCCCUAUUGGAGGCCGUGCUCAAAGCCGCCCCCAACGCCGUCACCCCACAACAUGGCGUCCGCCUCCGCCUCGGCCUGCAGGCUGCCCAUCCCUUGCGAUGACAAGAUGGCCGCCGACCCAUCCCAGAAUGCCUUGGGGUUCCAAGAUGGCCGACACCCCUUCCCAGAAGGCCUUGGGGCUCCAAGAUGGCCGACAAUCCUUCCCAUAAGGCCUUGGGGUUCCAAGAUGGCCGACACCCCUUCCCAGAAGGCCUUGUGGUAUUAAAAUGGAUGCCAACAAUCCUUCCCAGCAUCCCUUGCGGUCCCAAGAUGGCUGCCGCCCCUUCCCAGCAUGCCUUGAGGUGCCAAGAUGGCUGCCUACCCAUCCCAGUAGACACUGCUGCACCAAGAUGGCUGCCACCCCUUCCCAUAAGGCCUUGGGGUGCCAAGAUGGCCGCCGACCUAUCCCA